rnacentral:lncRNA from 10 species
ACGCAUUCCCCCUUUGGCCUGGGUGGGAACAGGGGAGGUGGUGGGCAGGGCCAGAAGGGCUUACUGGGAUUUUCUUUCUCUCUGUCACUCCAGAGAAAGGUGGUAAAGAACACUUGUUUCAGUUUGAGGUGCUCGGCAGCCACGCGCUGAAGGACGGUUUUUAAUUGUAGGGACUGAGAAUGGUGCAUACUAACUGCUGAGGAACAUGGUGAAUGGAGUUAUGGUAAUUGCACGAUUGGCAUGAAGGGGUGAGAGAAGUUCCAGAUUGGUCGAUUAAAAUGUGUUUGAGGAGCCAGUCUGUCUCCGUCAUCUGUUCCUGCCUUACUUAGAUGGAAAAUAAUGAAAUCUGUGUAGGAAGGGAGGUGUCUUUUUCUCUAGAAAUUCUCUGAAGAGGACACUUUACCUGCUGGGAACACUGAACCCCAAUGACUCAAUAAUUUGCCCAGACAUCAGCCGCUAAGGGGUGGCAUCUGGAGAUGAACCAAGACUCUCUGGUGCCUGGAUUUUUAGCAAGCAUGUUCAGCGGGACCUGUUUCAAAA